AAGACUAUAGACCUGCGGAGUACCUGCGGAGGGAUCAUUAUCGUAUUGUAACAAUUGGGGGGGCCACCGUGGGCUGUCGCUGACCCUUUGAAAGGGGGGUCGUGCACGCCCCCAUAGUGUCAUCCUCAUACAAUCCAACUCACCUCUGUGCAUCACCGCGUGGGUUCCUUUCUGGGUCGAGUCAGACUGGCUCAGAAAAAAGGGGCUUGCGUUUUCCAUGCAAAUACCCUUAUAAAUCCA
rnacentral:misc_RNA from 1 species